UAUCAUUAUAUUGCAUGCGAUAUUAGUUUUUAUUAGUCGCCAUUAACAACAUGUUUUCUACUUGAAUUCUCAUUUACUUGUUCAAUGCAAAAAUUAUCUUUGUAAAAGAGAAAAACACAUCUUCGCGUGUCAGCUAUAUUAAAUUAAAGAACUGUUUACCCUUCCUAAGGAAAGCAUAUGUAUCUAAAUAGGCAUCUUUUACCGUUUGCAUAGUAGAUUGGAAAUUAGCAUUUUUGUUCAUUUUCCCAUGUAUGCACAGCGCCUGGAAGAGUAAUACCCCAUGCAUAUCAGAUCAGCCAGCCUACAAUUUUUGUGCAAUAUAUUAUUUGGCAAUCUAAAAUUUGUAAUUUGCAUGAAAUUGCUUAAUUAAAAUACAGUCACUCAGGGUAUUAAUUUCUCUGUCUGGCAGUUCAACGUACUAAAGGCGGGCUACAGAAAAUGUGAAAUCCUGUCAGAUGUAACAGUAAAAUAUUAACCAAAAGAAAAAAAAAAUCCACUUCUGGCAACAAAGUGACAGAGUGAUAAUGCUUUUGCCCUGAUUCUGGGUUCAAAUACGAGCUUGGGUUGACAUUGAAACCAGCGAGGAAAUUUACAAUAGCAACUCUGGCUUUUUGCCAAUAAAUCUGCACCACGGACCUUUCCUGGCGAAACCCUUUUCCCUCUCCCCACCCCCUUUACAAUUUUCCCUACUAGCUAAGACGAAGAAGAAGAAGAAAGAAAAAAAAAAUCCUUUUCUGAAACCCAAGUCCCUUACUAUUUUCGGCAGCUUGCUUUUGAAAUCAGCAACCCUACUGAUAAAAUGAUCCAAUCAGUCCUCCCCAGUUGUCAAGACAACAGUUCAUAAUUGUACCAGCUCUUUUCAUUGCAGCUAGACAUUUCAUAAAUAGAUAAUUCUCUAAUUGAUCCAGCCAAUCCUACUUUGCAUACCCUGCCAAACUAGCACAGACUCUUUAGUGCAGUCCUGAUUUCUGUAUUAAUGAAUUGAGAAGAUGACAUCAGGCUCUUAGCAUUCAUAAUAAAGCAAAUGUGGUGUUUCGGAGCAAUAUGACAUCUCAAGUAAUCUUCUUAAAAGUAAGUAG